rnacentral:lncRNA from 1 species
CCCCGGGUUUAUUACAUAUAUCGGCAUCAAUUAGUUAAAACGCAUCGACCUCUGUGCUCCGAAGUGAGCGGAGGAUCGCGUUGCGCCGCGCCGCGCGCACUAUCGUCUGCUGGGGAUUGGAGAAUAGAUCGCGUCGUGUUUUUCGCCGUGUCGACUGCAGUUGUCGGGUUGACUUUCUGUUGUUACUUCUCGAGUCCGCGGAGUUAAAGCGAGCGGAAAACGGAGAGACCUCUGCACGCCGCGUGCGUCAUCCCGACGUCGAACUAAUUAGGACGCUGUUUUCUUCGCCGGGCGCAAAAUAAACGCCGUUGGUGUCGUGUCACUAUGUGUGCUCUUACUUUGCUACAAAGGACGAAUUAAAAUUUUUAGAGGAACCGUUAGAAUGCGUGAUCUCGAUUAAGCGCCGGAAUGCACGACGGAGAUUCAUUAAAAUCGUUGAUGUGACGAGCUAAAUAACAAAAGCGGAAAAAUAAUGAAGGUAUUGAACAGAUGAAGUAUAUAUAAUAUAUACAUAUAUAAAUAUUCAUAAAAAUACUUAUAAGAUCUAUGUAAUUUUAAAAUGUAAAAUAAAAGUAAAUUUGCGAAUGUUAACGCAAAAAAUGUCGCAAUAUCAUUUAUUGUGCAAUUCAGAUAAUUGCAUGUGUAUUGCGAAAGAAAAAGCAAGACAAGUAUUUGAAACAUGUUUUUUAUAUAAGAAACUCAAGUAUUUAAGAACAGUGUAACAUAAUGACGAAAAUUUCUUAAAAUAGUAUAAUACUGUAAAACGAAUUUAUUAUUUUUAUUAAUUAUUAUUCAAAGAAUUUUAAGCAUUAAAAAUGUGAAAAAAAUUGAAAAUUGAAGUUUUGAUUAACCGAAUAUUAUAGAUAUGUUUAAACACACAUCAUUGCUUCGCAUAAACUUAUAUUUAAAGAUUAUAAUAAUCUAAUAUUUUACGAUAUCUAUAUAUCUUCAGAUUUUUGGUGCGCAAAACAUAUACAACAUUAAUUAUAUGUAUACGUCAAAAGCGAUCAUUUAUUUAAUGUGAAGGACAAAUUAAAUUGUGCAUCGUAACUUAUACACUAAGAUUAUUGCUCAAGCAUAAGACUAAUUCUCAAAUAAAGUACAUCGAUUAAACUUGUAAAUUUUACUUUUUUAUAAGAGCAAGUGAAUGUUUAGUGAUAUAUGUGGUGAUAAUUCGAAUUACACUGUAUCGAUUACCGAAUAAGAAAUAAACAUUUGAAAUUGUUAUAUUUUUGCAAUAUUUUUGGUAUAAUUUUUAUUGUAAUUAUAGAUGGUUCCAGGAGAAACUGGCAACUAUAUUACAACGAAAAGAUCGAUAUGGAUAUAUAUCUACUUUAAAUAUAAAGUGAAAGCGGAUAAUAUGGAAUAGAGCCUUAUUUUUUUAAAGAAAGCAUUAUAAUCAUGCAGGCAGCAAUCGUUGCAAGUUGUUACAAUUAUUGCAAAACAUGCUGUAAUGAACGGAUUCGUAAAUUCAUUUUUUAUUUAUUUUAAAUUUAUUUCUUAUGUUAAAUAAUUUUUAUUUUAUAUAAAUUGUGAUUUUUAAUUAUUUAAAUAUGAACAUUUUCAUACUUGUUGUAAAUAAUAAUAUUUAUUAUAUAUAUAAAUAGUAAUAUUUAUUUUACAUAUCUACUAAUAAUAAUUUAAAAAUUAAUUUAAUAUUUUUUGUUGCAAUAAAAUUAUUUUACUUUUCUCAUAACUUUGUAUAGUAAAGAUAUAAACUAGUUUUUAAUCAAUUUGCAUAAAUAAGUCCGCGUUUUAUUUCUUGUGUUAUCUAUUACUGUUUCUAAAAUUUGAUCUGUAUAUUUUUACUUUUUAGUUCACACUUGAUUUUACUUUAAAAAUUUUUUUAAUACUAAAUUUAAACUUAUGAUUAAAUUUUUGAGGUACCUACUAAUAACAAUCAAUAUAUUCUUAAUAUAUAUUGUUAAGAGUCCCACAUAAAUUAUAAUUAAGUUCUACAUGUUUAUCGGAAUAAUAUUGAUUCAAAAACGUUAUUCCAUAUUAUCUAUCUGCUUUUUCUUAUAUUAAAGCACACAUAAUUAUAAUUUAAACAAUGUAUUUUAUCAAUAUUAAUUAAUUGUAAUUUUACAUUAACUUAUUAUAUAAUUUAUUAGUUGUUGUCCAACGUUCCUCAUAAAGCAAAAUAGUUUAUACAACUUAGAUCUUUAAGAGAAAUAAAACUUAAACAAAAUUAUUACAGUUUAUGUAGUGUAUAUAAUGUAAAUUUAACAACCUACGAUUUUUUGUUCUAUUCAAUGUUCUAGCAAUAUUUUAUUUCAGAAGAACGUUGUACAUUACAAUUUGAUGUCACUAAUAGUAGAAAUGGCGCACUUAAUUUUAAUAUUUGAGGCAUUAAUAUUUGUUAAUUAAUAAUAUCAAAGUAUAGCAAAUGUAAAUAUUAUUGGAAAUAAAUAUUUAAAAAUUAAUUUAA